rnacentral:lncRNA from 1 species
CAGGGAGGUGGUUUGAGAUACAUGAGCAGUUUGAGGGCAGAGGGGGCUGGAUUAGCUAAACUUCAUAAUCAAGGUGGUAUGUGGAACUGAGACUAGAUCAGGUUGCCAUGACAACAUGAGCAGGAAAAAAUCCUGAGCAGAGGCUGAGGGGAGGAAGUAGGGCAUAAGAUAUGGAGGAUGGUUAAUGAAGUGUAAGUGUGGGGACAUAGUGUCUCUGCCACACCACUGCAUGAUGUCAGGGGACAGUGUCAAGCUGUCCUGGAUAGAGGGGGGCAAAGUCAGAAGGCAGCAGAGGGCUGAGGAUGCAGCUGAUUCAAGAUCUAAAUCUCUCUCUAAAAAAUGUUUGGUUUUUUUUCCCAGGACUCAGAUUCAUAGGCCUAGUCUUCAAUUUUUAAUUAUUUUUUUUACACUUCUUGAGUGCUGCAGUGUACUUUGUUAAUUGCCUAAUGUAUCAAAACCACACAUAUAGAAAGAAUUAGUUCGAAUUUCCAUGGCCACCUCUCUGCUCCCAGCUGCAUCCACCAGUUCAUGCAUGCUGACAAGGCACAGGAACAGGGAUUCCCCAUCACCUCACACAGAGCUGGUGUAUCAGCACCCUCUGCAGCUGUGUGCUGUGUGAGUGCUCACCGUGUGCUGGUUGUCAGCUUGCGCAUCCAGAGGGCUGCAGAACCUGGAGCAAGCACCAUCAGGAUGUGGAGUCACUGCAGUAUGGUUGGAGAGAGGGAAAAUGUUCAGUAUUCAGCUCAGGAUCAGGAGACCUGGCUGGAGUUCCACAUCACCAGCCCUGGAGAAGCAAGCUCUGAUCUGGGUGACUGGAUUGUCACCUCUAACCCAUCAGAGGCUGUCAGGGAGAAGAGGCUGAAGAAACAUUGCAGAAAGGUCAUUGACUUUCAUGAGGACAGAUUAGGCACUGGAUACAGAGAGUUAAAUAUUUUUUCCAGGAAACCUCAUCCUCCCUCAAUCUGCUGUCCACUGAAACCCUUAAAAAACCAAUUCAGUUUCUACCAGAGAAAUAACUACUUGUAUGAAGACUUAAGCCUCUCAUUUCCUAUAAUGAUAAUCCUUCAUGAAAAUGAAAUAAGAAUUUCUACAAAGUUUGUGGACACUUUUGGCAAAACAUCCAGUAACAAACUGCCCAUUAAUGACCAAACUUCUUUUGGCACUUUCCCAGAAAACCUUAUCUUGCAGGUUACUGUAAUUAGAACUGAUUUUAGAGGGAAAUAAAAUUACAAGCUGCA